rnacentral:tRNA from 1 species
GCCCGAGUGGCGGAAUAGGCAGACGCAUGGGACUUAAAAUCCCACGGGAGUAUAUCCCGUGCCGGUUCGACCCCGGCCUCGGGCACCA